rnacentral:rRNA from 1 species
ACGCAGCCAUGCCGCGUGUGUGAAGAAGGCCCUAGGGUUGUAAAGCACUUUCAAUUGGGAGGAAAAGCUAAUGGUUAAUAGCCAUUAGCCCUGACGUUACCUUUAGAAGAAGCACCGGCUAACUCCGUGCCAGCAGCCGCGGUAAUACGGAGGGUGCAAGCGUUAAUCGGAAUUACUGGGCGUAAAGCGCGCGUAGGCGGCUCUUUAAGUCGGAUGUGAAAGCCCCGGGCUCAACCUGGGAACUGCAUCCGAUACUGGAGGGCUAGAGUGUAGGAGAGGGAGGUAGAAUUCCAUGUGUAGCAGUGAAAUGCGUAGAUAUAUGGAGGAAUACCAGUGGCGAAGGCGGCCUCCUGGCUUAACACUGACGCUGAGGUGCGAAAGCGUGGGGAGCAAACGGGAUUAGAUACCCCGGUAGUCCACGCCGUAAACGAUGUCUACUAGCUGUAGGGGUACUUGAGACCUUUGUAGCGCAGCUAACGCACUAAGUAGACCGCCUGGGGAGUACGGCCGCAAGGUUAAAACUCAAAUGAAUUGACGGGGGCCCGCACAAGCAGUGGAGCAUGUGGUUUAAUUCGAUGCAACGCGAAGAACCUUACCAGGCCUUGACAUCCCCGGAACUUUCUAGAGAUAGAUUGGUGCCUUCGGGAACCGGGUGACAGGUGCUGCAUGGCUGUCGUCAGCUCGUGUCGUGAGAUGUUGGGUUAAGUCCCGUAACGAGCGCAACCCUUGUCCUUAGUUGCCAGCAGGUUAAGCUGGGCACUCUAGAGAAACUGCCCGUGAUAAGCGGGAGGAAGGUGUGGAUGACGUCAAGUCCUCAUGGCCCUUACGGGUUGGGCUACACACGUGCUACAAUGG